rnacentral:rRNA from 1 species
GAUGAACGCUGGCGGCGUGCCUAAUACAUGCAAGUCGAGCGAAUGGAUUAAGAGCUUGCUCUUAUGAAGUUAGCGGCGGACGGGUGAGUAACACGUGGGUAACCUGCCCAUAAGACUGGGAUAACUCCGGGAAACCGGGGCUAAUACCGGAUAACAUUUUGAACCGCAUGGUUCGAAAUUGAAAGGCGGCUUCGGCUGUCACUUAUGGAUGGACCCGCGUCGCAUUAGCUAGUUGGGGAGGUAACGGCUCACCAAGGCAACGAUGCGUAGCCGACCUGAGAGGGGGAUCGGCCACACUGGGACUGAGACACGGCCCAGACUCCUACGGGAGGCAGCAGUAGGGAAUCUUCCGCAAUGGACUAAAGUCUGACGGAGCAACGCCGCGUGAGUGAUGAAGGCUUUCGGGUCGUAAAACUCUGUUGUUAGGGAAGAACAAGUGCUAGUUGAAUAAGCUGGCACCUUGACGGUACCUAACCAGAAAGCCACGGCUAACUACGUGCCAGCCGCCACCGUAA